AAAGAAAAUUCAGAUAAUAGAUCCUAUUUUUAUGGAACACAACUACCCAUUAUCUUUUUUAAUUCUAAAAUAAAUAAGUUUAUUAUUAUUUUUAGAAUGCCUCUCGCAGGCGCAGAAGUGCGUACAGAGAGGCUAGUUUUAAUAAAUAAAGUUUAAUUAAUAGUUUUUUUAAAUAUUAAUAAAUCAUAAAAUAAAAGAAAAUAUUAAAUAAUUUUAUUUGAUGUGGUUAUCCACCUCAUCUGUCACAUAAGGUGGUAUGGGAAUGUGAUAUAUAAAUGUGGUAAGUGUAGCAUUAUUCUUUUCAUUAUGGCAAGCUAGAUCCUUCAUGUGUUUCUUGAUUGCUAUCCUUCAUGGGUUUGGGUGUGAUUUGAGGUAUGAACUUUAGGUUCUGAUUUUUUGUUCAAUUUGUU
rnacentral:lncRNA from 1 species